AAUUCUCAACUUUGCUUGUCUUUUCGAGCGAAGCUUGGAUUUUGGAGCGUGCUGGCGAAGGUCGGCUCCUCUUUAAAUGCAUGAGCGGAAAAGUCAUAUUUGACUUUUGCGGUGAAUCGGCGUGAUAAUAAUGUUGUUGCGUCGUUGGCCCAAAGGUCUCUGUCCGCUUACAAUGGUCUUCGGACGACUUAUUAUGAA
rnacentral:misc_RNA from 1 species